rnacentral:rRNA from 1 species
GACGUAGGGGGCGAGCGUUGUCCGGAUUUAUUGGGCGUAAAGCGUGCGUAGGCGGCUGCGCAAGUCGGGUGUGAAACCCCGGGGCUCAACCCCGGAACUGCAUCCGAUACUGCGUGGCUAGAGGUAGGUAGGGGAGAUCGGAAUUCCUGGUGUAGCGGUGAAAUGCGCAGAUAUCAGGAGGAACACCGGUGGCGAAGGCGGCUUGCUGGGCCAGUUCUGACGCUGGAGGAGCGAAAGCGUGGGGAGCGAACAGG